GACGAACGCUGGCGGCGUGCUUAACACAUGCAAGUCGAACGGGAUCCAAAGGCUUUUUGUUUUUGGUGAGAGUGGCGAACGGGUGAGUAACACGUGAGUAACCUGCCCCCUUCUUUUGGAUAACCGCAUGAAAGUGUGGCUAAUACAGGAUAUUCCAGGCUGGUCGCAUGAUUGGUUUGGGAAAUGGUUUGGUCUGGUGGGGGAUGGGCUCGCGGCCUAUCAGCUUGUUGGUGGGGUGAUGGCCUACCAAGGCGGUGACGGGUAGCCGGCCUGAGAGGGUGGGCGGUCACACUGGGACUGAGAUACGGCCCAGACUCCUACGGGAGGCAGCAGUGGGGGAUUUUGCACAAUGGGCGCAAGCCUGAUGCAGCGACGCCGCGUGAGGGAUGAAGGCCUUCGGGUUGUAAACCUCUUUCGCUGGGUUGAAAGGCCAUGCUUUGGGUGUGGUUGAUUUGAACUGGUAAAGAAGAACCGGCUAACUACGUG
rnacentral:rRNA from 1 species